GUGUAAAAUAUUUCUUUGUGCAAUAUUAACAUCUGCAGCUGGUGGAGCACCCAUGGAGCAGCUCAUCGUGAAACGAUGGCAUCUGUGCAGAGAGCAGCGUGUGAAACGAUGGCAUCUGUGCAGAGAGCAGCUUGUGAGGCGAUGGCUUCCAUGGAUUGCAGCUUG
rnacentral:lncRNA from 13 species